AGAUUCAAGCGACAAGUAUUUAAAAAAUAUGAACAGCAGCUAUAUCGCGACUAUAAAAUUGUCCUUUUGCUUCUGGCUCUUGUAGCAGUUCCAUGGAUGCUAUUUCCGAAACCAUUCAUCUUAAGGAGGCUUCACAAAGAGAUUUCAAGGUCGUACUUAUGGCAUGCUGGGUACAUCAGAGAUGGAUCUGGAUGUCGAACCUGAUUCUGCUAGACUUAGGCACCACCACGAGGAUUUCAACUUCAGUGAAAUGUUUGUGCAUAAGAUGAUCCAUUCAAUUGAAUUUGUAUUGGGGGCUGUCUCAAACACUGCAUCCUAUCUUCGACUUUGGGCUCUGAAG